rnacentral:rRNA from 1 species
AUUGAACGCUGGCGGCAGGCCUAACACAUGCAAGUCGAGCGGAUGAAAGGAGCUUGCUCCUUGAUUUAGCGGCGGACGGGUGAGUAAUGCCUAGGAAUCUGCCUGGUAGUGGGGGAUAACGUUCCGAAAGGAACGCUAAUACCGCGUACGUCCUACGGGAGAAAGCAGGGGACCUUCGGGCCUUGCGCUAUCAGAUGAGCCUAGGUCGGGUUAGCUAGUUGGUGAGGUAAUUGCUCACCAAGGCGACGAUCCGUAACUGGUCUGAGAGGAUGAUCAGUCACACUGGAACUGAGACACGGUCCAGACUCCUACGGGAGGCAGCAGUGGGGAAUAUUGGACAAUGGGCGAAAGCCUGAUCCAGCCAUGCCGCGUGUGUGAAGAAGGUCUUCGGAUUGUAAAGCACUUUAAGUUGGGAGGAAGGGCGUUUGGCUAAUAUCCAGGCGUUUUGACGUUACCAACAGAAUAAGCACCGGCUAACUUCGUGCCAGCCGCCGCAGUAAAAC